AGGGGGAGGCGAAAGAGCCCCUGCGCCUUUAAGGCUGCCUAGCUGGCGAGCCCUGCGUGGAGCGCACCGAGUGUUGGGAGCAGGCCGGGGACAGGCAGUGGCACAGGACGGAAGGUGUUUCUUGAGACAAUUGCUCUGUGAUGGCCAAUGGCAUGUUGUGGAAUCAAGAGGAACUUCAGGUUACCUUCAACACUACAGACUGUAAAGCAGCACAGGACCUGGAAGCAGCAUGUUGUUCCUACAGACACUGGCCCAGAUGUUCAGAAGUGCCUGUGCAAAUGAAGUGCACAGGGUGAUCAAGUGUAUUGCAAGUGGAUCUUCAUAUUCACAAGAGAUUGAGGCAGAUUUCAAAUUAAGUCUCAAGGGUUAACUGCUGCAGAAAUACCAAGAUAAUUGCUGAACGUUAUGUAUUAUCACCACAAAUCUUGCUCAUAGACCUUUUUAUGCACAAUUCAUGCUUAGAAGCUGUCUGACAUACAGAGAGACCAGAAUGACAUUUCCUAUGUA